CGGUAACCUACCCUCGGGAGGGGGAUAACCCCGGGAAACUGGGGCUAAUUCCCCAUAGGCCUGAGGUACUGGAAGGUCCUCAGGCCGAAAGGGACUUAUGUCCGCCCGAGGAUGGGCCGGCGGCCGAUUAGGUAGUUGGUGGGGUAAUGGCCCACCAAGCCGAAGAUCGGUACGGGCUGUGAGAGCAGGAGCCCGGAGAUGGACACUGAGACACGGGUCCAGGCCCUACGGGGCGCAGCAGGCGCGAAACCUCCGCAAUGCGGGAAACCGCGACGGGGGGACCCCGAGUGCCGUGGCAACGCCACGGCUUUUCCGGAGUGUAAAAAGCUCCGGGAAUAAGGGCUGGGCAAGGCCGGUGGCAGCCGCCGCGGUAAUACCGGCGGCCCGAGUGGUGGCCGCUAUUAUUGGGCCUAAAGCGUCCGUAGCCGGGCCCGUAAGUCCCUGGCGAAAUCCCACGGCUCAACCGUGGGGCUUGCUGGGGAUACUGCGGGUCUUGGGACCGGGAGAGGCGGGGGGUACCCCCGGGGUAGGGGUGAAAUCCUAUAAUCCCAGGGGGACCGCCAGUGGCGAAGGCGCCCCGCUGGAACGGGUCCGACGGUGAGGGACGAAGGCCAGGGGAGCAAACCGGAUUAGAUACCCGGGUAGUCCUGGCUGUAAAGGAUGCGGGCUAGGUGUCGGGUGAGCCUCGAGCUCGCCCGGUGCCGUAGGGAAGCCGUU
rnacentral:rRNA from 1 species